AACGCGAAGAACCUUACCGGGGCUUGACAUCCUGCGCUAUCCUAGGAGACUAGGUUUCCGGGCAACCGGACGCAGAGACAGGUGCUGCAUGGCUGUCGUCAGCUCGUGCCGUGAGGUGUUGGGUUAAGUCCCGCAACGAGCGCAACCCUUAUCUUCAGUUGCUACCAUUUAGUUGAGCACUCUGACGAAACCGCCUCGGAUAACGGGGAGGAAGGUGGGGAUGACGUCAAGUCCUCAUGGCCUUUAUGUCCAGGGCUACACACGUGCUACAAUGGCCGGUACAAACCGUCGCAAACCCGUGAGGGGGAGCUAAUCGGAAAAAGCCGGCCUCAGUUCGGAUCGCAGUCUGCAACUCGACUGCGUGAAGCUGGAAUCGCUAGUAAUCGCGGAUCAGAAUGCCGCGGUGAAUACGUUCCCGGGCCUUGUACACACCGACUGUAC
rnacentral:rRNA from 1 species